rnacentral:rRNA from 1 species
UACGUAGGGUGCAAGCGUUGUCCGGAAUUAUUGGGCGUAAAGAGCUCGUAGGCGGUUUGUCGCGUCUGCUGUGAAAACGCGGGGCUCAACUCCGCGCCUGCAGUGGGUACGGGCAGGCUAGAGUGCAGUAGGGGAGACUGGAAUUCCUGGUGUAGCGGUGGAAUGCGCAGAUAUCAGGAGGAACACCGAUGGCGAAGGCAGAUCUCUGGGCCGUAACUGACGCUGAGGAGCGAAAGCAUGGGGAGCGAACAGG